CUCGAGUGCCGGUAGGCAGGCAGCAAGAAAAGUAGGAAGGAAGAAGGGAGGCAGGGUGGGCAGCACUGGCUGCCCUUGCCCACCACAUCUCUGCCCAGCUUUUGACUCAGGCUUAGUAAUGGAGGGUGGAACUGAGCCAUAGAAGGAGACAAGAGCAGAAGUGGCUGUUUGAAGUGCAGGCAAGCUGGAGGGAUCAUGCAGAAGGGCAGAAAGAAGAUGGUGAAGAUAGGAGCUUUGUACCUCCCAAAGAUGAAGGCAGAAGAAAUGCCAAUAAAAAGAUAUACAUCCUCAGGAUUCAGACAGUAUCAACUUCAUACAAAUGGCCAGUCAGAUGCCCUCACAAGUUCAGAAGCAGAGCAAGAUGAGGAGAAUCCUUUUGUGUUGCUUGUUCCCUGAAGCCUGGGCCUAUUGGAAACAGAAAAAUGAGAGCCUCAACAUCAGAAGCGUAUGUGAAUAAUAUAAUUGUACCAGAGAAGAUAUUUACCUUGGUAAACCAGUUGCAAUGCAGAAGAGGUCCAUAAUAUCCCUCGAGUUACAGUAUUUACUGAAGGCCACCUUCCAAAGGAAACAAAAUCAAUGAAGAUAAAACAAAGAUGAAAACACUUCCAAUAGCAAUUUUAAUUUACAUCCUGUAGGUAUGGCAUUAAUUUACAUGACUCUUUUUUCUUCUUGGAGAUAUCUGAUUUCUUCAUCAUACUGAGUAUAAUUCUGUUCCCAUUCUGUACUCUUUCAAAACCUUUUAUUAGAUUUUCUGUAGGAAACAAAUAAUAAAAGGAGGAUUUGCGAA